UACGAAGGGGGCUAGCGUUGCUCGGAAUUACUGGGCGUAAAGGGAGCGUAGGCGGACGACUAAGUUAGAGGUGAAAGCCCGGGGCUCAACUCCGGAAUUGCCUUUAAGACUGCAUCGCUAGAAUUGUGGAGAGGUAAGUGGAAUUCCGAGUGUAGAGGUGAAAUUCGUAGAUAUUCGGAAGAACACCAGUGGCGAAGGCGACUUACUGGACACAUAUUGACGCUGAGGUGCGAAAGCGUGGGGAGCAAACAGG
rnacentral:rRNA from 1 species